rnacentral:rRNA from 1 species
CCUACGGGAGGCAGCAGUGGGGAAUAUUGCACAAUGGGCGAAAGCCUGAUGCAGCGACGCCGCGUGCGGGAUGGAGGCCUUAGGGUUGUAAACCGCUUUUGUUCAAGGGCAAGACACGGUCUUUGGCCGUGUAGAGAGGAUUGUUCGAAUAAGCACCGGCUACCUACGUGCCAGCAGCCGCGGCAAUACGGAGGGUGCAAGCGUUAUCCGGAUGUAUUGGGGGUAAAGGGCUCGUAGGCGGUUCGGCGCGACCGGUGUGAAAGUCCUUCGCUUAACGGCGGAACCGCGCCGGGUACGGGCGGGCUUGAGUGCGGGAGAGGUAUGUGGAAUGCGCGGUGUAGCGGUGGAAUGUGUAGAUAUCGGGAAGAAUACCAAUGGCGAAGGCAGGUCUCUGGGCCGUUACUGACGCUGAGGAGCGAAAGCGUGGGGAGCGAACAGGAUUAGAUACCCUUGUAGUC